UACGUAGGCAGCAAGCGUUGUUCGGAGUUACUGGGCGUAAAGGGUGUGUAGGCGGUUGUUUAAGUUUGGUGUGAAAUCUCCCGGCUCAACUGGGAGGGUGCGCCGAAUACUGAAUGACUCGAGUGCGGGAGAGGAAAGUGGAAUUCCUGGUGUAGCGGUGAAAUGCGUAGAUAUCAGGAGGAACACCGGUGGUGUAGACGGCUCACUGGACCAUAACUGACGCUGAGACACGAAAGCGUGGGUAGCAAACAGG
rnacentral:rRNA from 1 species